UACGUAGGGUGCGAGCGUUGUCCGGAAUUAUUGGGCGUAAAGAGCGCGCAGGCGGUCGUCCAAGUCGCGUGUGAAAGCCCCCGGCUCAACUGGGGAGGGUCACGCGAUACUGGUCGACUCGAAGGCAGGAGAGGGUAGUGGAAUUCCCGGUGUAGUGGUGAAAUGCGUAGAUAUCGGGAGGAACACCAGUGGCGAAGGCGACUACCUGGCCUGUUCUUGACGCUGAGGCGCGAAAGCUAGGGGAGCAAACGGG
rnacentral:rRNA from 1 species